rnacentral:rRNA from 1 species
UACGUAGGGCGCGAGCGUUGUCCGGAAUUAUUGGGCGUAAAGAGCUCGUAGGCGGCUUGUUGCGUCUGCUGUGAAAUCCCGGGGCUUAACCCCGGGCGUGCAGUGGAUACGGGGCAGGCUGGAGGCAGGCAGGGGAGAAUGGAAUUCCCGGUGUAGCGGUGAAAUGCGCAGAUAUCGGGAGGAACACCGGUGGCGAAGGCGGUUCUCUGGGCCUGUUCUGACGCUGAGGAGCGAAAGCGUGGGGAGCGAACGG